GAUGAACGCUGGCGGCGUGCCUAAUACAUGCAAGUCGAGCGAAUGGAUUAAGAGCUUGCUCUUAUGAAGUUAGCGGCGGACGGGUGAGUAACACGUGGGUAACCUGCCCAUAAGACUGGGAUAACUCCGGGAAACCGGGGCUAAUACCGGCUAACAUUUUGAACCGCAUGGUUCGAAAUUGAAAGGCGGCUUCGGCUGUCACUUAUGGAUGGACCCGCGUCGCAUUAGCUAGUUGGUGAGGUAACGGCUCACCAAGGCAACGAUGCGUAGCCGACCUGAGAGGGUGAUCGGCCACACUGGGACUGAGACACGGCCCAGACUCCUACGGGAGGCAGCAGUAGGGAAUCUUCCGCAAUGGACGAAAGUUUGACGGAGCAACGCCGCGUGAGUGAUGAAGGCUUUCGGGUCGUAAAACUCUGUUGUUAGGGAAGAACAAGUGCUAGUUGAAUAAGCUGGCACCUCGACGGUACCUAACCAGAAAGCCACGGCUAACUACGUGCCAGCCGCCGCGGUAA
rnacentral:rRNA from 1 species